rnacentral:lncRNA from 1 species
CCUUCGAGGGAAUAACCUGGAUUAUGGCCAAUACUUUCUACUUCUAAUAGUCUUCCAGUUUCAUUGUUCACAAGGGGUUGGUAAACAAAAAUCAAUGAAAAGAGCAGGGUCUUCUCUAUUUUGGAUUUGGACACUGAUGAUGAAGCUGUGAUAUUCUGAUCCAGGACUCAAUGGCUCCUCCUGGAUCUUCUAACAAGUGGGCUGCCUUGUGCCUGGGUCUGAAGAGAAGAGGAAGAAAGAGGGGAGUCUGAUGGACAAAGCUCUGUGGAGGACGUGGCACUGAGCAGAAACUUGAAACAGAGCUUGACUGGCUGGCAGGAUGAGAAGAAUGGACUCUUGGCUGAAGGGGAAGCAAGCACAAGCACAUAGAGAUGAGGAAGCAUGGGUGGUGGUAUAUAGGGCUUGGUGUGUUAAUCAAACUGUCAGCAAAGGAAAAAAAAAAGAAGAAGAAGAAAGGGCACAUUCUAUCCAAAUGAAGAAAAAUCUGAGCUUUCUACAACAAACACAUUUUCCAGUGGAUGAGCUUCUCACACAGUAAUUAUUUCACUUCUCCCAGAGAUUACUGAUUACAUCACACAGAAAAACUAAAUGAGGGCUGUUUUAUCUUUCUCAUCUCUCUGUGGUUCUUGUGCAAACUUAUACUUGUUAUCAUGAAAAAUGACAAAUUUGCCAUCUGAUCAAAAUGUUAACAAGGUAACUGUCAGUGAGAUGGAUCUCUGACUGUCACUGCAAGCCAGAACAUGAGGAUACAUUGAUAUUUCUCAAUACAGCCCCUGCUUCCCCAACGUUCACUAACUACAUUUCCACAGUAAGGUAAUAAAUCACUCAGAAAUAACGAGCUAUAUAGGAUCUCUGGGGUAUGAUAGAUGUGUCCUAACAGCACUAUCUGCAAGAUAGAAAACAAUUGAUAAUGAUCUAAAGAA